rnacentral:lncRNA from 1 species
ACACUCUUUCGUUCUUCAUCUCUUUCUCUCUCCAUCAUCAUCUUCUCUCUCUAAGAUUCUCGAUCUAACAGUCUUAGGGUUUCAGUUCUCGAAAACCUAAUUGUUUAGAAAAUUCAGUCGAUUUCUCAAUUAAUUCAAGCUUCUUGGAUUGAUUCAGGUUCGUGUAAUCUUGACUUCAUCAGUGCAAUUUUCUUUUUUGCUUUAGUUGAAUUGUUGAAUUUCAAUUAUAGUUUGGGGUUUUUUUUCUUCUCAAUAUUGAUUUAUUUCUUUUUGUACUUUUAAUUUAUGUUUUCUAGUCGAUUGAUGUGGUAAUAGCACUUAGUUGAAAUUAUGAUGAAUGUGGGUUCUUGAAGUUUCUUAGAGUGGUUAUCUUCUUCAAUUCUCUCGCACUCGCUCUUCCUCUCUUUCAAUUUCGAUAAUUUGCUUUAGUUUAAACCUACAUUGUUGAUUGAUUUGAAAUGAGAAUUUAUGAUUUAUGAAGAAUGUGUUUUCUGACUGUUUCUUUAAUGGUUAUGUUCUUUCUGCUUUUUCUUCGAUUGAUGUUUUGAAUUGAAAGAUACUGUAUCUUUUCCCCAUUUCAUAGCACAAAGAACACACCCACCACACUGGAGUGUCAUUAGUAUGAAAGAACUUGAUAGAAUUUCUUAUGGAACAACGGACUCAGAAGGCACUGUUGUUAAAACUUUAUCUUUGUGUAUGGCAUUGUUUGAAGUUGCCCAGAUCCUGAGGUUCUGUUGAAUACAUACGAGUACUCACUUAAGUCUUUGUACGAUAUUAAUGCAUGGGUCUGAGUCUUUGCUGCCUAUGCAUUCACUGUUCCUCUAUUUCUUUCUUUUUUGGAAUGAUAUCUAAAGUAAUCGACAAUCCCCUUUCAUUUGCUAUACUAGCAAUUUAUUUUGUAAAAGAUCUGGAGGAAAGGCCAUUGGCGUGUGAUUUAUUUUAGCAAGUAUUUGUGUUGCGAUAACUGAGACCACUAAGCUUGUUAGAUGAGUUUGUAAUGUAAUCUUUUGCAUAAUUAGUAAUUAGGAUAUUAGUUAGUUCAUAAAUGAAGUGCAAUGAGGUAGUUGACAAGAGUCUGAAUAUGUCACAAUGUCAAGUUAAAACUCUGGGAUGGGAUAGGUUUGUUUAUUCUUUUUUGGCCUGUGAUUGUGGCAAAAGAAGAUUAAUAAUUUUUGGAAGGUAUUUAUUUUGUUAGCUCUUUCUUUAUAUAGAAAAUGUUUAUCUCUUUGUUCUUUCCCCCCAGAUUGCAGAUAUGGGGAAUAGUGAAGAUGAGUUUGUACUGGAGAUGGCUUUAAGCAGAGGGUGGAAGA